AUUGAACGCUGGCGGCAGGCCUAACACAUGCAAGUCGAGCGGAUGAAGGGAGCUUGCUCCUGGAUUCAGCGGCGGACGGGUGAGUAAUGCCUAGGAAUCUGCCUGGUAGUGGGGGAUAACGUCCGGAAACGGGCGCUAAUACCGCAUACGUCCUGAGGGAGAAAGUGGGGGAUCUUCGGACCUCACGCUAUCAGAUGAGCCUAGGUCGGAUUAGCUAGUUGGUGGGGUAAAGGCCUACCAAGGCGACGAUCCGUAACUGGUCUGAGAGGAUGAUCAGUCACACUGGAACUGAGACACGGUCCAGACUCCUACGGGAGGCAGCAGUGGGGAAUAUUGGACAAUGGGCGAAAGCCUGAUCCAGCCAUGCCGCGUGUGUGAAGAAGGUCUUCGGAUUGUAAAGCACUUUAAGUUGGGAGGAAGGGAAGUAAGUUAAUACCUUGCUGUUUGGACGUUACCAACAGAAUAAGCACCGGCGAACUGCGU
rnacentral:rRNA from 1 species